rnacentral:rRNA from 1 species
AAACAAUGACGAGAUAGUACAAAUCCCGUCCGCCAGGGGACUACGAGCACUAGCUUAAAACCCAAAGGACUUGGCGGUGCCUCAAACCCACCUAGAGGAGCCUGUUCUAUAAUCGACAACCCCCGUUAAACCUCACCACCCCUUGCCAACCAGCCUAUAUACCGCCGUCGCCAGCUUACCCCAUGAGGGAAUAACAGUAAGCUAAAUGGUUAACACCACAAACGUCAGGUCGAGGUGUAGCUUAUGGUGUGGGAAGAAAUGGGCUACAUUUUCUGACACAGAAUAUUACGAAAAGUGUAAUGAAAAGUACACGACUGAAGGUGGAUUUAGCAGUAAAAAGAAAAUAGAGCGUUCU